AUGAUCCCGCAGGGUCAGAGCAGCUCGCUGGAGCGCCUCCACAACGUUGAGCAGCGGAUAGUGCGGGUGGUGGAGCUGUCGGGCGCGGUCAUGGAGGAGCUCGGAAACUCGCAGGGUCCCCGCGCCGAAGCCGUAGCCGCCCACUGCCGCGAGUUCAUGCUCUACAUGAAGGAAAUACAAACAACUUUGCGCGAGGAAAUAAAAAGUGCUUGUGAAUAUCGUCCAUUUGAGAAGUGCGACUAUAGUGCAAGAAUCGCUAAUGAGAUUUGUUGCAAAAAGCUGGAGUAUGUAAUUGAGAAGAUGGAUGCUAUGCAACUAAACAUGGAGCAAAGUUCUAAUGGAGUUUAG
rnacentral:rRNA from 1 species